GACGAACGCUGGCGGCGUGCUUAACACAUGCAAGUCGAACGGAAAGGCCCUGCUUUUGUGGGGUUCUCGAGUGGCGAACGGGUGAGUAACACGUGAGUAUCCUGCCCUUGACUUUGGGAUAACUUCAGGAAACUGGGGCUAAUACCGGAUAGGAGCUCCUGCUGCAUGGUGGGGGUUGGAAAGUUUCGGCGGUUGGGGAUGGACUCGCGGGUUAUCAGCUUGUUGGUGGGGUAGUGGCUUACAAAGGGUUUGACGGGUAGCCGGCCUGAGAGGGUGACCGGGCACAUUGGGACUGAGAUACGGCCCAGACUCCUACGGGAGGCAGCAGUGGGGAAUCUUGCACAAUGGGCGGAAGCCUGAUGCAGCAGCGUCGCGUGCGGGAUGACGGCCUUCGGGUUGUAAACCGCUUUCGCAUGUGACGAAGAGUGAGUGACGGUAAUGGGUAAAGAAGCACCGGCUAACUACGUG
rnacentral:rRNA from 1 species